rnacentral:rRNA from 1 species
GGACGCCAGUCUGCGUGGAGCCGACCUUGAAAUACCACCCUUUAAUGUUUGAUGUUCUAACGUGGACCCGUUACCCGGGUUGCGGACAGUGUCUGGUGGGUAGUUUGACUGGGGCGGUCUCCUCCUAAAGAGUAACGGAGGAGCACGAAGGUUGGCUAAUCCUGGUCGGACAUCAGGAGGUUAGUGCAAUGGCAUAAGCCAGCUUGACUGCGAGCGUGACGGCGCGAGCAGGUGCGAAAGCAGGUCAUAGUGAUCCGGUGGUUCUGAAUGGAAGGGCCAUCGCUCAACGGAUAAAAGGUACUCCGGGGAUAACAGGCUGAUACCGCCCAAGAGUUCAUAUCGACGGCGGUGUUUGGCACCUCGAUGUCGGCUCAUCACAUCCUGGGGCUGAAGUAGGUCCCAAGGGUAUGGCUGUUCGCCAUUUAAAGUGGUACGCGAGCUGGGUUUAGAACGUCGUGAGACAGUUCGGUCCCUAUCUGCCGUGGGCGCUGGAGAACUGAGGGGGGCUGCUCCUAGUACGAGAGGACCGGAGUGGACGCAUCACUGGUGUUCGGGUUGUCAUGCCAAUGGCACUGCCCGGUAGCUAAAUGCGGAAGAGAUAAGUGCUGAAAGCAUCUAAGCACGAAACUUGCCCCGA